rnacentral:rRNA from 1 species
UGAACGCUGGCGGCAUGCUUUACACAUGCAAGUCGAAACGGGGUGAGGGGGCAACUCCUCAUUCAGUGGGCGAUACGGGUGAGUAAUGCAUCGAGAACGUGUCCCGCAGUGGUAGGGGAUAACGCCGCAGAAAGCGGCUGCAUAAUACCGCAUACGCUCUGCGGAGGAAUAGCGGGGGACCCGUAAGGGCCUCGAUUGCUAUGGGGGGCGGCCGAUGUCCGAUUAGGUAGUUGGUGGGGGUAAUGUGCCUACCAAGGCGACGAUCGGUAGCUGGUCUGAGAGGACGACCAGCCACACUGGGACUGAGUACACGGCCCAGACUCCUACGGGAGGCAGGCAGUGUGGAAUAUUUGGACAAUGGGGCACACCUGAUCCAUGCCAUGCCGCAUAUGUGUGAAGAAGGCCUUCGGUUUGUGAUAAGCACUUUCGGAACGGAACGAAAUCGCGCGGGCGAAUAUCCCGCGUGGAUGACAGGUACCGUAAGAAGAAGCACCGGCUAACUACGUGCUCAGCAGCCGCGGUAAUAACGUAGGGUGCGAGCGUUAAUCGGAAUAUACUGGCGUAAAGUGUGCGCAGGCGAUCCGAGCAAGUCGAGUGUGAAAAGCCCCAGGGCUUAACUUGGGAAUUGCGCUCGAAACUACUUGGCUGGAGGUGUGGCAGAGGAAGGUGGAAUUACCACGUGUAGCGGUGAAAUAUGCGUAGAUGAUGUAGGAUGGAACACCAAUGGCGAAGGCAAGCCUUCUGGGCCAAACACUGACGCAUCUAUGCACGAAAGCGUGGGGAGCAAAACAGGAUUAUGAUACCCUGGUAGUUCCAACGCCCUAAACUGAUUGACGACUAGUUGUUGGAGGAGUUAAAUCCUUUAGUAAGUAACGCAUGCUAACGCGCGAUAAGUCGUCCGCCUGGGGAUAGUACGGUCGCAAGAUUAAAACUCAAAGGAAUUGACGGGGGCCCGCACAAGCGGUGGAUGAUGUGGUUUAAUUCGAUAUGGCAACGCGAAAAACCUAUACCUACCCUUGACAUUGCUAGGAAUCCUGCAGAAAUGCAGGAGUGGCCCGAAAAGGGAAACCUAGACACAGGUGUCUGCAUGGCUGUCGUCAGCAGUCGUUGUCGUGAGAUGUUGGGUUAAGUCCCGCAACGAGCGCAACUCCCUUGCCAUUAGUUGCUACAUUCAGUUGAGCACUCUAAUGGGACUGCCAAGUGACAAAACCGGAGGAAGGUGGGGAUGACGUCAUAGUCCUCAUGGCCCUUAUGGGUAGGGCUACACACGUAUCACACAAUGGCGCGUACAGAGGGUUGCCAACCCGCGAAGAGGGGAGCCAAUCCCCAGUAAAGCGCGUCGUAGUCCGGAUUGAAGUCUGCAAACUCGACUUCUAUGAAGUCGAUAUCGCUAGCAAUCGCGGAUCAGCAUGUCGCGGUGAAUACGUUCCCGGGCCUUGUACACACCGCCCGUCACACCAUGGGAGUGGGGUUCACCAGAAGCAGGUUGCCCUAACCGCAGGAGGGCGCCUACCACGGUGAGCUUCAUGACUGGGGUG